rnacentral:rRNA from 1 species
CCUACGGGAGGCAGCAGUGAGGAAUAUUGGACAAUGGGCGGGAGCCUGAUCCAGCCAUGCCGCGUGCAGGAAGACUGCCCUAUGGGUUGUAAACUGCUUUUAUACAGGAAGAAUAAGCCUUACGUGUAAGGUGAUGACGGUACUGUAAGAAUAAGGACCGGCUAACUCCGUGCCAGCAGCCGCGGUAAUACGGAGGGUCCGAGCGUUAUCCGGAAUUAUUGGGUUUAAAGGGUCCGUAGGCGGAUGAUUAAGUCAGGGGUGAAAGUUUGCAGCUCAACUGUAAAAUCGCCUUUGAUACUGGUUAUCUUGAGUUGUAUUGAAGUAGGCGGAAUAUGUAGUGUAGCGGUGAAAUGCAUAGAUAUUACAUAGAACACCAAUUGCGAAGGCAGCUUACUAAGUACUAACUGACGCUGAUGGACGAAAGCGUGGGUAGCGAACAGGAUUAGAUACCCUGGUAGUCCACGCCGUAAACGAUGGAUACUAGCUGUUCGGGACCUUGAGUUCGGAGCGGCUAAGCGAAAGUGAUAAGUAUCCCACCUGGGGAGUACGUUCGCAAGAAUGAAACUCAAAGGAAUUGACGGA